rnacentral:tRNA from 1 species
UCCCUGAUGACUCAGUGGUAAAGAAUCUGCCUGCAACGCAGGAGACCCAGGUUCAAUCCCUGGGUUGGGAA